rnacentral:rRNA from 1 species
AGUAGCGUAAUCAAUAGCCAAUUAAUUGUUGGCCGGUAUGAAUGGCAUCACGAAGGCCCCGCUGUCUUAAGAGGACUCUCCAUGAAAUUGAAUUCGUAGUGAAGAUGCUACGUCCAUAUUGUAAGACGAAAAGACCCCAUUGAGCUUUACUAAAGACUUGUAUGGCUCGAAAUAACUUAAAUAAAAAGUUUAGAUAAUGUGGGAUCCGUUUUUGGUUAAUGAAACACCACUCUUUUAUUUUAAGAGAGCUAACCUUGUAGGGAGAAUGCAAGUUGGAUAGUUUGGUUGGGGCGACCACCUUUUAAAAGGUAACGAAGGUGAGCUUAAGGUCCGUAGUUAAUAGCUAGUGGCCUGACUGCAAGGGGGACAUCCCGAGCAGACACUGGUAAUCUCUCAGUGGGUUAUAGUGACCCGUCAUCUUAGAGUGGAAUAGUUGACGAUCAACGAAUAAA